UCAAUUUAUAUUUUAUGAUCACAUAUUUGGAAUAAUCUUAUGUUUGUAGUAUUACUAUGUAACGAAAAAAAGCAAAGAGUUGUCUAGAGUUAUGUAAAAUUUGGAAAACUGCAUAUUCAUAUCUCAGAAUGUAACAUGAAGACCGGAAAACUGUUAGUGCUUCUUGCCUUUUUCGUUGUUACGGUUUUAUACCACAGUUAUGUCGUUGAAUGCCGAGGCGGUGUUAAGGGCGGAUCACAUAAACAACGAGCAUCACGUGCUAGAAAGUCUAGUUCUUUUAGAUCGACGCCGGACGACGGAAACGGGAAACUAAUUGGCAUAAUCGUUGGUUCGGUGAUAGGAGGCAGCAUUAUGAUUACACUUGUAGUAUUUUUGACAUACUAUUUCUGUUCUUCGAAAAGAAAGACAUUACAAGUUUCAGCAACAUCAAAUGAUGUACCAGUGGGGGAAUUAUAAGCAAACGAAAUCGUGUUCAUCAAAACAGUUUCAAAGGUUUCCUACAAACAGCUGUAGAACCUUUAUUUUCUUAGUAAAUAUGUUAAUUAUGUAUUUUAAAAGAUCAUUAAGAAAGCAUUUGAAAAAUUCUGAAUUAGGAUUAUUUUCAUGUUAAUAAUUGUUGAUAAUGUAAUUAUACAAAUGUGUUUUAAAAACGUGUGUACCUAAAAGAUAUACUGCAAAUACCUCUAGACAUAUACAAACUAGACCGCCUGAAAAUGUUGCAAAGUGGUCUGAAAAGAUAUGGAAGUUUAUUUUCAAUAUUCUAUUCUGAGGCCAAAUCAUGGCCCAUGAGGACAUACACUACAUGAUAUAUGGCAAGACAGUAUGCAACAUAUAGAUCUACAUACAAUUGAAGUUGAUGUGUGGAGAAGGUUGAAAAUACAUUACAUAUGAAUAUCCUUAAUGCAUAAUAAUAUCAAUGAUUAUCAACAAAUAUCUGAAAAUAUAAAUACACCCACCGUUCGGAAGUGUUCCUACAAUACGUUAUGCCCCUUGACUUGAAUGCAUAUUCUGCUAAUUAUAUGAACAGAAAAUAACAGCACAAUUAAAUAUAUACAUUAUUAAAAAGAGAAAUCAACAAUAUAUUUUGCUUUGAUGAUACGAUGGUGUAGUCCGUUACAGUGUAGGGACAGCUUUUUACGGUUGAAUGAAAGUUUUAAUAAAUAGCUUCUCCACUGAAGUCAAAUAUAAAACGAAUUUGGCCUUUAUGCUUAAAAGUACAAUUUUACUUCAAAGACCAGCCUAUUUGUGCAUAGUCGGUAGAUUUUUAUUUUUACGGUUUCGUUUGAAAGAUAAAUAUUUUUUCUUUUCGCUGAAACAGUUAAACCCAUAUUCAACAAUAUUUGCUAGAAAUGCUAGUAAACUUAAUGGUAACAUACAUUUUAUAUUUUGAUGAAAUACUUUUGAUUCCCGGUAGUACUAUUGGCAAAUGUGUUCUUCUUCGCUAUGACAUUCUAUGUGGAUCGCUUCCAGGGACACCCUGUCAUGAUAGGUGUUGGUUGGCUGGGAGUGUGGAUUUUUGUGCUGUUAUCAUGUUCCCAAAGCAUAAAGGCUACUGGCUAAUACGGAAAUAAUCUGUAUUAUGUAUUUAUAGAUUAUUUGCACAGGGUGCUGAACUAUGCCGCAUGUGAACGAUUGCUAAUUCUCUAUGUCCUAGGGUAGCCUUGCACAAAAAUUAUGUUGGGAGACACAAAGUACAUUUAUUUUAACUGCGAAAACAAUCAAAUUAGUUUGGUUUACACAAUAAUUUAUUUUAGCUCGAUUGUAAUGAAAGCUUUGAAACUUAUUUGAAUCACUCUUGAGCUCACUUCCUCUAAAGCAAUACUGGUGUCAUAUGGCAUGAUCAUAGCCCCAGUAGGGCUCCGAACAUAAAACCUCAAUGCGGGGCAUUCGACACCAUUACCAAUAAACUACCGCUCCUCUAUCUCAUAAGGAUCUUUUAUGGAAACAAUUAGAAAAUUGAUGCCUGAGCUUUGUUUAGACAUGUGUCAACAAAACGAACAAUACUGAAAUAAAGUGAGUAAAUGUUAA